UGCGUAGGCGGAUUGUUAAGUCAGUGGUGAAAGUCUGCGGCUCAACCGUAGAAGUGCCAUUGAUACUGGCAGUCUUGAGUACAGUAGAGGUAGGCGGAAUUUAUGGUGUAGCGGUGAAAUGCAUAGAUACCAUAAAGAACACCUAUAGCGAAGGCAGCUUACUAUACUGUAACUGACGCUGAGGCACGAAAGCGUGGGGAGCGAACAGGAUUAGAUACCCUGGUAGUC
rnacentral:rRNA from 1 species